rnacentral:rRNA from 1 species
AGCGUACACGGUGGAUGCCCUGGCAGUCAGAGGCGAUGAAGGACGUGCUAAUCUGCGAUAAGCGUCGGUAAGGUGAUAUGAACCGUUAUAACCGGCGAUUUCCGAAUGGGGAAACCCAGUGUGAUUCGUCACACUAUCAUUAACUGAAUCCAUAGGUUAAUGAGGCGAACCGGGGGAACUGAAACAUCUAAGUACCCCGAGGAAAAGAAAUCAACCGAGAUUCCCCCAGUAGCGGCGAGCGAACGGGGAGCAGCCCAGAGCCUGAAUCAGUGUGUGUGUUAGUGGAAGCGUCUGGAAAGGCGCGCGAUACAGGGUGACAGCCCCGUACACAAAAAUGCACAUGCUGUGAGCUCGAUGAGUAGGGCGGGACACGUGGUAUCCUGUCUGAAUAUGGGGGGACCAUCCUCCAAGGCUAAAUACUCCUGACUGACCGAUAGUGAACCAGUACCGUGAGGGAAAGGCGAAAAGAACCCCGGCGAGGGGAGUGAAAAAGAACCUGAAACCGUGUACGUACAAGCAGUGGGAGCCUCUUUUAUGGGGUGACUGCGUACCUUUUGUAUAAUGGGUCAGCGACUUAUAUUCUGUAGCAAGGUUAACCGAAUAGGGGAGCCGAAGGGAAACCGAGUCUUAACUGGGCGUUAAGUUGCAGGGUAUAGACCCGAAACCCGGUGAUCUAGCCAUGGGCAGGUUGAAGGUUGGGUAACACUAACUGGAGGACCGAACCGACUAAUGUUGAAAAAUUAGCGGAUGACUUGUGGCUGGGGGUGAAAGGCCAAUCAAACCGGGAGAUAGCUGGUUCUCCCCGAAAGCUAUUUAGGUAGCGCCUCGUGAAUUCAUCUCCGGGGGUAGAGCACUGUUUCGGCAAGGGGGUCAUCCCGACUUACCAACCCGAUGCAAACUGCGAAUACCGGAGAAUGUUAUCACGGGAGACACACGGCGGGUGCUAACGUCCGUCGUGAAGAGGGAAACAACCCAGACCGCCAGCUAAGGUCCCAAAGUCAUGGUUAAGUGGGAAACGAUGUGGGAAGGCCCAGACAGCCAGGAUGUUGGCUUAGAAGCAGCCAUCAUUUAAAGAAAGCGUAAUAGCUCACUGGUCGAGUCGGCCUGCGCGGAAGAUGUAACGGGGCUAAACCAUGCACCGAAGCUGCGGCAGCGACGCUUAUGCGUUGUUGGGUAGGGGAGCGUUCUGUAAGCCUGUGAAGGUGUGCUGUGAGGCAUGCUGGAGGUAUCAGAAGUGCGAAUGCUGACAUAAGUAACGAUAAAGCGGGUGAAAAGCCCGCUCGCCGGAAGACCAAGGGUUCCUGUCCAACGUUAAUCGGGGCAGGGUGAGUCGACCCCUAAGGCGAGGCCGAAAGGCGUAGUCGAUGGGAAACAGGUUAAUAUUCCUGUACUUGGUGUUACUGCGAAGGGGGGACGGAGAAGGCUAUGUUGGCCGGGCGACGGUUGUCCCGGUUUAAGCGUGUAGGCUGGUUUUCCAGGCAAAUCCGGAAAAUCAAGGCUGAGGCGUGAUGACGAGGCACUACGGUGCUGAAGCAACAAAUGCCCUGCUUCCAGGAAAAGCCUCUAAGCAUCAGGUAACAUCAAAUCGUACCCCAAACCGACACAGGUGGUCAGGUAGAGAAUACCAAGGCGCUUGAGAGAACUCGGGUGAAGGAACUAGGCAAAAUGGUGCCGUAACUUCGGGAGAAGGCACGCUGAUAUGUAGGUGAAGCGACUUGCUCGUGGAGCUGAAAUCAGUCGAAGAUACCAGCUGGCUGCAACUGUUUAUUAAAAACACAGCACUGUGCAAACACGAAAGUGGACGUAUACGGUGUGACGCCUGCCCGGUGCCGGAAGGUUAAUUGAUGGGGUUAGCGCAAGCGAAGCUCUUGAUCGAAGCCCCGGUAAACGGCGGCCGUAACUAUAACGGUCCUAAGGUAGCGAAAUUCCUUGUCGGGUAAGUUCCGACCUGCACGAAUGGCGUAAUGAUGGCCAGGCUGUCUCCACCCGAGACUCAGUGAAAUUGAACUCGCUGUGAAGAUGCAGUGUACCCGCGGCAAGACGGAAAGACCCCGUGAACCUUUACUAUAGCUUGACACUGAACAUUGAGCCUUGAUGUGUAGGAUAGGUGGGAGGCUUUGAAGUGUGGACGCCAGUCUGCAUGGAGCCGACCUUGAAAUACCACCCUUUAAUGUUUGAUGUUCUAACGUUGACCCGUAAUCCGGGUUGCGGACAGUGUCUGGUGGGUAGUUUGACUGGGGCGGUCUCCUCCUAAAGAGUAACGGAGGAGCACGAAGGUUGGCUAAUCCUGGUCGGACAUCAGGAGGUUAGUGCAAUGGCAUAAGCCAGCUUGACUGCGAGCGUGACGGCGCGAGCAGGUGCGAAAGCAGGUCAUAGUGAUCCGGUGGUUCUGAAUGGAAGGGCCAUCGCUCAACGGAUAAAAGGUACUCCGGGGAUAACAGGCUGAUACCGCCCAAGAGUUCAUAUCGACGGCGGUGUUUGGCACCUCGAUGUCGGCUCAUCACAUCCUGGGGCUGAAGUAGGUCCCAAGGGUAUGGCUGUUCGCCAUUUAAAGUGGUACGCGAGCUGGGUUUAGAACGUCGUGAGACAGUUCGGUCCCUAUCUGCCGUGGGCGCUGGAGAACUGAGGGGGGCUGCUCCUAGUACGAGAGGACCGGAGUGGACGCAUCACUGGUGUUCGGGUUGUCAUGCCAAUGGCACUGCCCGGUAGCUAAAUGCGGAAGAGAUAAGUGCUGAAAGCAUCUAAGCACGAAACUUGCCCCGAGAUGAGUUCUCCCUGACUCCUUGA